rnacentral:rRNA from 1 species
UACGGAGGGGGCUAGCGUUGUUCGGAAUUACUGGGCGUAAAGCGCGUGUAGGCGGCUUGGCAAGUCGGAUGUGAAAGCCCACGGCUCAACCGUGGAAGCGCAUCCGAAACUGCUUCGCUCGAGUCUCGGAGAGGAAGGUGGAAUGCUUGGUGUAGAGGUGAAAUUCGUAGAUAUCAAGCAGAACACCUGCGGCGAAGGCGGCCUUCUGGACGAUGACUGACGCUGAGACGCGAAAGCGUGGGGAGCAAACAGG